CCCAUAGAGAGUUGGGGACUGAGGUCAAUUAAAUGGUAGGUUCUGUCACAGGUUUGGACAAAGUGAGGGUCACUAGUAUAUUAGCAAGGGGUAUCAGGUGGUUGUCUUCUAGGGGCAGUGACAAUGAUACCUCUCCAGACUGUACUGAAUGUUGGCAUUAAUAGCCGACAGAAUAUCACUGCCUAUCAAAUUGACAAGGGCAUUAGGGCUGACAAGCGAGAGAAGUAGAGUCAUGGAGUUUAAGCUUUAUCUGGUGGGUUAGAGGGAUUUCUGC